CGCGAAUGCAUCCAAUGGUUGUAAUGAUCAUGGCUCAGAUCUGANCCGCUGGNUUAACAGCCUAACACAUGCAAGUCGAACGGUAACAGGAAGCAGCUUGCUGCUUUGCUGACGAGUGGCGGACGGGUGAGUAAUGUCUGGGAAACUGCCUGAUGGAGGGGGAUAACUACUGGAAACGGUAGCUAAUACCGCAUAACGUCGCAAGACCAAAGAGGGGGACCUUCGGGCCUCUUGCCAUCGGAUGUGCCCAGAUGGGAUUAGCUAGUAGGUGGGGUAACGGCUCACCUAGGCGACGAUCCCUAGCUGGUCUGAGAGGAUGACCAGCCACACUGGAACUGAGACACGGUCCAGACUCCUACGGGAGGCAGCAGUGGGGAAUAUUGCACAAUGGGCGCAAGCCUGAUGCAGCCAUGCCGCGUGUAUGAAGAAGGCCUUCGGGUUGUAAAGUACUUUCAGCGGGGAGGAAGGUGUUGAGGUUAAUAACCUCAGCAAUUGACGUUACCCGCAGAAGAAGCACCGGCUAACUCCGUGCCAGCAGCCGCGGUAAUGCGGAGGGUGCAAGCGUUAAUCGGGAAUUACUGGGCGUUAAAAGCGCCAAC
rnacentral:rRNA from 1 species